CACGUAGGGUGCGAGCGUUGUCCGGAAUUAUUGGGCGUAAAGAGCUCGUAGGCGGUUUGUCGCGUCUGCUGUGAAAACCUAAGGCUCAACCUUGGGCUUGCAGUGGGUACGGGCAGACUAGAGCGCGGUAGGGGUGACUGGAAUUCCUGGUGUAGCGGUGGAAUGCGCAGAUAUCAGGAGGAACACCGAUGGCGAAGGCAGGUCACUGGGCCGCAACUGACGCUGAGGAGCGAAAGCAUGGGGAGCGAACAGG
rnacentral:rRNA from 1 species